AUGUCUGCGCUAGAGUUCUCUUGUUUCCCAACACUUGCAUCUCGACUUGAUGGUGUUUUCCCGAAAGGGCGGAAAGGCAGCAGCAGCCUGUGGCCGACGCGGGCUCCCAGGUAUCUGGCCGUUCCCCCACGGGCAGCGAGCGCCUCAGGCAGGCCCACUCCGCGCGGAGGGUGUGUGUGUGUGUGUGUGUGUGUGUGUGUGUGUGUGUGUCCCACACGGAGCCCGAGGAGCCUUGCCCACUUCCACCUGCCGGCGCUGCCCGGCCCCAGCCCCGGCCCCGCUCCCGCUCUCCACUCCACUUGGGAAGUCAGGACGGUCCCCGCCCAGGAGGCACCGGGCUCCGUCCCGGCCGCGGGCAGUCACCUGGGUCGCCGUGGGGAGCCGCAGCCUGCCUGCAGGAACCUCGCGGCCACCGGCCCGAGGGGGAAAACCAGGGAGCCCCAGCUCCCGCCGCCCCGCUCUCCCGGCCGCACAGAUGGCAGCAGGUUCAGCACCGCGGACCGGGGCGAGCGCGGCGCCCGCAGCCCGCAGCCCGCAGCCCGCAGCCCGCAGCCCGGCCGGGGCGCGCGGGGCUCCCGGGGCGGGCGCGCGGCGGGGGCGCCGAGGGAGGGUGGGUGCGGGGCGCGCGGGGCGGCGGGGCGCGCGGGGCGGCGCUGCCUCCCCCCUCCCGCCGCCCGGAUUUACCUCCUCGGCCAAGGUCACGGCCCCGCGGCGUCUGCCCUCCGGGGCGGGCUGGGAGCCGGCGCUGUCAGCUGGCGGCGAGCGGAGCAGCGAGAGGGGGCAGCCUCAUCACACUCGGCGGAUGCGGAACCGCGCCGCCCGGGCGACCGCCGCCGCCGCCGCCGCCGCCGCCGCCGCCACCGUGCACGGGCGGCCCCGGCAGCCCGCCGCUCGCGCCCGCUCCCCCCCGCGCCCCGCCGCCCGGCCGGCAGCUCCCUCCGCCGCUCUGCUCCGGGCGCGGGGACCCGCCGGGCGCGCGCGGGAGCCGAGACGCCGGCCCGUGCGCGCGCCUGGGAGGCGGGAGGCGGGAGGCGGGAGGCGGGAGGCGGGAGGAGGGCGGUCACGUGGGCCCGGCGGCCGGAGGUGCGGGCUCGCAGGCGCGGGGCUGUGCGCGUCCGCCCCGCCCGGGCCCCUGGGGGCACUCGCCGCGGGGCCGGCGGAGUCGGCGCGGCGGGCGGCGGCCGGAAGGGCAGGGCGGGCGGGCGGAUGGAGGGAUGCAGGGAUGGAGGGAUGGAGGCACGGAGGGAUGCAGGGAGCCCCGCGCCGCCGGAGCGCUUCAUCACGUGCCUGCUGGCGCCGCCGACAGUGCGAGGGCAGCAGAUGAUUGAUGAUCGCCGGGCUUAA
rnacentral:lncRNA from 1 species